GUUCCUUCCAAACACUUCACCA
rnacentral:miRNA from 1 species